rnacentral:rRNA from 1 species
AGUUUGGUCCCUAUCUGCUGUGGGCGUUGGAGAUUUGACGGGGGCUGCUCCUAGUACGAGAGGACCGGAGUGGACACACCUCUGGUGUACCUGUUGUCACGCCAGUGGCAUCGCAGGGUAGCUAAGUGUGGAAGAGAUAACCGCUGAAAGCAUCUAAGCGGGAAACUUGCCUGAAGAUGAGAUCUCCCUGGGGACUCGAUCCCCCUGAAGGGUCGUCCAAGACCAGGACGUUGAUAGGCCGGGUGUGGAAGCGCAGUAAUGCGUGCAGCUAACCGGUACUAAUUGCCCGUGAGGCUUGACCCU